rnacentral:tRNA from 1 species
CGGCGUGUAGAUCAGUCAGUAGAUCACCGGGCUCCUUACCCGGAGGGCGCAGGUGCGAUCCCUGCCACGCCGGC